rnacentral:rRNA from 1 species
CACGUAGGGCGCAAGCGUUGUCCGGAAUUAUUGGGCGUAAAGGGCUCGUAGGCGGUCUGUUGCGUCGGGAGUGAAAACUUACAGCUUAACUGUGAGCGUGCUUCCGAUACGGGCAGACUUGAGGUAUUCAGGGGAGAACGGAAUUCCUGGUGUAGCGGUGAAAUGCGCAGAUAUCAGGAGGAACACCGGUGGCGAAGGCG